rnacentral:rRNA from 1 species
GUCGAACGCGAAAGGGGAGCAAUCCCUGAGUAGAGUGGCAAACGGGUGAGUAACACGUGGGUGACCUGCCUUCGAGUGGGGGAUAACGUCCCGAAAGGGACGCUAAUACCGCAUGACAUCCUGUCUUUGGACAGACGGAGAUCAAAGCUGGGGAUUCGCAAGAACCUGGCGCUUGAAGAGGGGCCCGCGCCUGAUUAGCUAGUUGGUGAGGUAACGGCUCACCAAGGCUACGAUCAGUAUCCGGCCUGAGAGGGCGGACGGACACACUGGGACUGAGACACGGCCCAGACUCCUACGGGAGGCAGCAGUGGGGAAUUGUUCGCAAUGGGCGCAAGCCUGACGACGCAACGCCGCGUGGAGGAUGAAGAUCUUCGGGUCGUAAACUCCUGUCGAGUGGGAAGAAUAGUUUCCGGGCGAAUAUCCCGGAAACCUGACGGUACCACUAAAGGAAGCCCCGGCUAACUCCGUGCCAGCAGCCGCGGUAAUACGGGGGGGGCAAGCGUUGUUCGGAAUUACUGGGCGUAAAGGGCUCGUAGGCGGCCAACUAAGUCAGACGUGAAAUCCCCAGGCUCAACCUGGGAACUGCGUCUGAUACUGGAUGGCUUGAAUUCGGGAGAGGGAUGCAGAAUUCCAGGUGUAGCGGUGAAAUGCGUAGAUAUCUGGAGGAAUACCGGUGGCGAAGGCGGCAUCCUGGACCGACAUUGACGCUG